rnacentral:rRNA from 1 species
UACGAAGGGGGCUAGCGUUGCUCGGAAUUACUGGGCGUAAAGGGCGCGUAGGCGGAUAUCUAAGUUGGGGGUGAAAUCCCGGGGCUCAACCUCGGAAUUGCCUUCAAAAACUGGAUAUCUUGAGUUCGGGAGAGGUGAGUGGAACUGCGAGUGUAGAGGUGAAAUUCGUAGAUAUUGGGAAGAACACCGGUGGCGAAGGCGGCGACCUGGGCCGAUACUGACGCUGAGGAGCGAAAGCGUGGGGAGCAAACAGG